rnacentral:rRNA from 1 species
AGUGAACGCUGGCGGUAGGCCUAACACAUGCAAGUCGAACGGCAGCACAGUAAGAGCUUGCUCUUACGGGUGGCGAGUGGCGGACGGGUGAGGAAUACAUCGGAAUCUACUUUUUCGUGGGGGAUAACGUAGGGAAACUUACGCUAAUACCGCAUACGACCUACGGGUGAAAGCAGGGGAUCUUCGGACCUUGCGCGAUUGAAUGAGCCGAUGUCGGAUUAGCUAGUUGGCGGGGUAAAGGCCCACCAAGGCGACGAUCCGUAGCUGGUCUGAGAGGAUGAUCAGCCACACUGGAACUGAGACACGGUCCAGACUCCUACGGGAGGCAGCAGUGGGGAAUAUUGGACAAUGGGCGCAAGCCUGAUCCAGCCAUACCGCGUGGGUGAAGAAGGCCUUCGGGUUUUAAAGCCCUUUUGUUGGGAAAGAAAAGCAGCAGGUUAAGACCCCGCUGUUCUGACGGUACCCAAAGAAUAAGCACCGGCUAACUUCGUG